GCGCAUCUGUGCAUGCAGCAUAUCAAUAAGCGGAGGAAAAGAAACUAACAAGGAUUCCCCUAGUAACGGCGAGUGAAGCGGGAAGAGCUCAAAUUUGAAAUCUUAAAGGGUUUCCCUUUACGAAUUGUAGUUUAAAGAAGGUGUUUUCUGUUGAGGUUUUGGUAAAAGUUCUUCGGAAUAGGACAUCAUAGAGGGUGAGAAUCCCGUAUUUGACCUUUACUUUCAACUUUGUGAUACACUUUCAAAGAGUCGGAUUGUUUGGGAAUGCAGUCCAAAAUGGGUGGUAAAUUUCAUCUAAAGCUAAAUAUUGGCGAGAGACCGAUAGCGAACAAGUACCGUGAGGGAAAGAUGAAAAGAACUUUGAAAAGAGAGUUAAACAGUACGUGAAAGUUGUCAAAAGGGAAGCGUUUGACACCAGUGUUGUUUUUCUGAAAAUCAAUUAAAGAACUGUUUAUGCUAAGUUGUUUAGACUUUAUCAGCUAAUCUGCUUAGUUUUGAGCUUUUCUUUAAUGCACUUUUCAGUUAACAAGGUCAACAUCAAUUUCUUUUGCUGUAAAAAAGCUUGAGGAAGGUGGCUUGAGAUUCGUCUUAAGUGUUUAUAGCCUCUUGCCUAUGCAGUCGGAGAGAUUGAGGUCUGCAGCGUAGAUCCUUCGGGGCUAAAUGCAUUUGUGCUAAGUUAUAGCAUUUUAUAGACAACUUGUUGACUAUGAUUUGUCUUGUAGCUUACUCGCUUAUGUUAUUUUACCUACGCUUAGGAUGUUGAGUCGUAGAGCACGCAG
rnacentral:rRNA from 1 species